UACAGAGGUCCCAAGCGUUGUUCGGAUUCACUGGGCGUAAAGGGUGCGUAGGUGGUCGGGUAAGUCUGAUGUGAAAUCUCCGAGCUUAACUCGGAAAUGGCAUUGGAUACUAUUCGGCUAGAGGGUUUGAGGGGGGACUGGAAUACUUGGUGUAGCAGUGAAAUGCGUAGAUAUCGUUUGGAACGCCAAUGGUGAAAACAGCUCGCUGGGGGUGCGCUGACACUGAGACACGAAAGCCAGGGGAGCAAACGGG
rnacentral:rRNA from 1 species